rnacentral:rRNA from 1 species
UACGUAGGGUGCAAGCGUUGUCCGGAAUUAUUGGGCGUAAAGAGCUUGUAGGCGGUUUGUCGCGUCUGCUGUGAAAUUUCGGGGCUCAACCCCGAACUUGCAGUGGGUACGGGCAGACUAGAGUGUGGUAGGGGAGACUGGAAUUCCUGGUGUAGCGGUGAAAUGCGCAGAUAUCAGGAGGAACACCUAUGGCGAAGGCAGCUCGCUGGGACGGCACUGACGCUGAGACGCGAAAGCGUGGGGAGCAAACAGG